rnacentral:misc_RNA from 1 species
GCCCAUCAUGUCAUUCCACGCGCUGCUCCGUUCUCAGGACAAAACACCGAAAAAUCCUCAAGAGCCAAGUUCCCAACAUUUAACCUUCUCAAUUCCGCGUUUUCUCUUUCGAUAUCUCUCCUCUGACUAUCUUUGACCAAGCCAAAUGGGUAACUGCAGCAGCCACCUCCCCUCCACGUUCAGCGCUAACGCCGCUGACUCUUCCGCCGCUUCCCGCCUCCCUCCUCCUCCAAAUGGCAUCACGGUCCACCCACCAUACGCCUCUCCCCCGCCUCGCCCUCCACCACCGCAUUCACUGCAACCCUCCAAUCGCCCCUCCUCCACCACUCCCGCUGUGGGCCGAGUCCUCGGUCGUCCCAUGGAGGACGUCCGCAACACAUACACGUUCGGCCGCGAGCUGGGCCGCGGCCAGUUUGGAGUAACCUAUCUCGUCACCCACAAGGAA